GUCGAACGAUGAAGCCUAGCUUGCUAGGUGGAUUAGUGGCGAACGGGUGAGUAAUACGUGAGUAACCUACCUUUAACUCUGGGAUAAGCCCGGGAAACUGGGUCUAAUACCGGAUACGACCAAUCUCCGCAUGGGGUGUUGGUGGAAAGCGUUAUGUAGUGGUUAUAGAUGGGCUCACGGCCUAUCAGCUUGUUGGUGAGGUAACGGCUCACCAAGGCGACGACGGGUAGCCGGCCUGAGAGGGUGACCGGCCACACUGGGACUGAGACACGGCCCAGACUCCUACGGGAGGCAGCAGUGGGGAAUAUUGCACAAUGGGCGCAAGCCUGAUGCAGCGACGCCGCGUGAGGGAUGACGGCCUUCGGGUUGUAAACCUCUGUUAGCAGGGAAGAAGAGAGAUUGACGGUACCUGCAGAGAAAGCGCCGGCUAACUACGUGCCAGCAGCCGCGGUAAUACGUAGGGCGCGAGCGUUGUCCGGAAUUAUUGGGCGUAAAGAGCUUGUAGGCGGUUUGUCGCGUCUGCUGUGAAAGGCCGGGGCUUAACCCCGUGUAUUGCAGUGGGUACGGGCAGACUAGAGUGCAGUAGGGGAGACUGGAAUUCCUGGUGUAGCGGUGGAAUGCGCAGAUAUCAGGAGGAACACCGAUGGCGAAGGCAGGUCUCUGGGCUGUAACUGACGCUGAGAAGCGAAAGCAUGGGGAGCGAACAGGAUUAGAUACCCUGGUAGUCCAUGCCGUAA
rnacentral:rRNA from 1 species